UCCGAAGGUGGCAAGCGUUACUCGGAAUUACUAGGCGUAAAGGGCAGGUAGGUGGUUUGGUUAGUCUGUUGUGAAAGCUCCUUGCUUAACGGGGAGAGGUCAACAGAUACUGCCAGACUUGAGUAUGGGAGAGGGUACUGGAAUUCCUGGUGUAGCGGUGAAAUGCGCAGAGAUCAGGAGGAACACCGAUGGCGAAAGCAGGUACCUGGACCAUUACUGACACUCAGCUGCGAAAGCUAGGGGAGCAAACAGG
rnacentral:rRNA from 1 species